AUCAGAGCUGGAUCAGGGAUGGAAUCAGAAGCUCCUGGAGCUGGAUCCAGGGGGGAAUCAGAAGCUCCUGGAGGUGGAUCCAGAGUGGAGGAUCCAGAGUGGAAUCAGAGCUGGAUCUGGGGUGGGAUCAGAAGCUCCUGGAGAUGCAUCCAGGGUGGAAUCAGAGCUGGAUC